rnacentral:rRNA from 1 species
GGUACCGACAGAAAAAGCACCGGCUAACUACGUGCCAGCAGCCGCGGUAAUACGUAGGGUGCGAGCGUUAAUCGGAAUUACUGGGCGUAAAGGGUGCGCAGGCGGUCUUGCAAGUCAGAUGUGAAAGCCCCGGGCUUAACCUGGGAAUUGCGUUUGAAACUACAAGGCUAGAGUGCAGCAGAGGGGAGUGUAAUUCCAUGUGUAGCAGUGAAAUGCGUAGAGAUGUGGAAGAACACCGAUGGCGAAGGCAGCUCCCUGGGUUGACACUGACGCUCAUGCACGAAAGCGUGGGGAGCAAACAGGGUUAGAUACCCUGGUAGUCCACGCCCUAAACGAUGUCAACUAGUUGUCGGAUCUAAUUAAGGAUUUGGUAACGUAGCUAACGCGUGAAGUUGACCGCCUGGGGAGUACGGUCGCAAGAUUAAAACUYAAAKGAAUUGACGGGGACCCGCACAAGCGGUGGAUUAUGUGGAUUAAUUCGAUGCAACGCGAAAAACCUUACCUACCCUUGACAUGCUUGGAAUCUAAUGGAGACAUAAGAGUACCCGAAAGGGAGCCAAGACACAGGUGCUGCAUGGCUGUCGUCAGCUCGUGUCGUGAGAUGUUGGGUUAAGUCCCGCAACGAGCGCAACCCUUGUCACUAAUUGCUAUCAUUUUUAAUGAGCACUUUAGUGAGACUGCCGGUGACAAACCGGAGGAAGGUGGGGAUGACGUCAAGUCCUCAUGGCCCUUAUGG